rnacentral:lncRNA from 1 species
UGAAGACUGAUGUUCUGAUUUUUUUCCUAUCCUAUUUUCUUUAAAUCCUAGGAGACUUCAUUUGGUAUUUUCAUGUAGAAUCUCUUAUCUGCAGCAAUGUAGGAGUGUAGAUCUGCCUAGAAACAUAAAGCUGAUUCAACCACAUAAACUGCAUAGUCAGUGAAAACUUCAGCUUGAAUAUGUCUUUAUGUAAAAGAGCUUCUGACUACAUAAUUGUAUUUACUGGAAUCCAUAAAUCUCUACUACAGCGAAGAUUACGGGCUAAGACAGAGGGGCUGAAAAUGUAGCACCUCAGAGAAGGUAAAACUGUACUUUCUUCUCAU